GGCCCUGUAGUGAAGUUCAUGUUGAGUUGCAAGCUCAUCGAUGCGUAUACGUACGCCGGGGUCU
rnacentral:tRNA from 1 species